UACGUAGGGUGCGAGCGUUAAUCGGAAUUACUGGGCGUAAAGCGUGCGCAGGCGGUUUUGUAAGCCAGAUGUGAAAUCCCCGGGCUUAACCUGGGAAUGGCAUUUGGGACUGCAAGGCUGGAGUUUGGCAGAGGAGACUGGAAUUCUCGGUGCAGCAGUGAAAUGCGUAGAUAUCGAGAGGAACACCAGUGGCGAAGGCGAGUCCCUGGACAGAUCCUGACGCUGAGGCACGAAAGCUAGGGGAGCAAACAGG
rnacentral:rRNA from 1 species